AUUCGGCAUGAUAACUAGAUGACGGUCUCAAACUCCUACGACCAUAGUCCUUUAAGUUGCCGAUAUAUUAACGCUAAAAUCUUACACGUUUUCUUAUUUACACCUUGAGGACAAACGUUUAAUUUUCGCAACAAUA
rnacentral:snoRNA from 1 species